CAAACGACUCUCGGCAACGGAUAUCUCGGCUCUCGCAUCGAUGAAGAACGUAGCGAAAUGCGAUACUUGGUGUGAAUUGCANAAUCCCGUGAACCAUCGAGUCUUUGAACGCAAGUUGCGCCCGAAGCCACUAGGCCAAGGGCACGUCUGCCUGGGCGUCACGC
rnacentral:rRNA from 1 species